rnacentral:rRNA from 1 species
UGGGCAACCUGCCCCUCUCACUGGGAUAACCCUGGGAAACCGGAGCUAAUAUCGGAUACUCCGGCUGGAUCGCAUGGUCCGGCCGGGAAAGGUCCGCCGGAGAGGGAUGGGCCCGCGGCCUAUCAGCUUGUUGGUGAGGUAACGGCUCACCAAGGCGACGACGGGUAGCUGGUCUGAGAGGACGACCAGCCACACUGGAACUGAGAUACGGUCCAGACUCCUACGGGAGGCA